rnacentral:rRNA from 1 species
CCUACGGGUGGCAGCAGUGGGGGAUAUUGCACAAUGGGGGGAACCCUGACGCAGCGACGCCGCGUGAGUGAAGAAGCGCUUCGGAGCGUAAAGCACUGUCCGCAGGGACGAAAAUGACGGUACCUGAGGAGGAAGCUCCGGCUAACUACGUGCCAGCAGCCGCGGUAAUACGUAGGGGGCGAGCGUUGUCCGGAUUUACUGGGUGUAAAGGGGGCGUAGGCGGGGAUGCAAGUUGGGGGGAAAAACUCGGGGCUCAACUCGGGGUCGCACGUGAAACUGCGGGGAUUGAGUGAAGGAGGGGCAGGCGGAAUUCCUGGUGUAGCGGUGAAAUGCGUAGAUAUUAGGAGGAACACCAGUGGCGAAGGCGGCCUGCUGGACUUCAACUGACGUUGAGGCCCGAAAGCGUGGGGAGCAAACAGGAUUAGAUACCCGAGUAGUC